rnacentral:rRNA from 1 species
GACGAACGCUGGCGGCGUGCUUAACACAUGCAAGUCGAGCGGUAAGGCCCUUUCGGGGGUACGACGAGCGGCGAACGGGUGAGUAACACGUGGGUGACCUGCCCUCCAGCUCUGGGAUAAGCCUGGGAAACCGGGGUCUAAUACCGGAUAUGACUCCAUGACGCAUGUUGUGGGGUGGAAAGCCUUGUGCGGCUGAGGAUGGGCCCGCGGCCUAUCAGCUUGUUGGUGGGGUGAUGGCCUACCAAGGCGACGACGGGUAGCCGGCCUGAGAGGGCGACCGGCCACACUGGGACUGAGACACGGCCCAGACUCCUACGGGAGGCAGCAGUGGGGAAUCUUGCGCAAUGGGCGAAAGCCUGACGCAGCGACGCCGCGUGAGGGAUGACGGCCU